AUCGACGAGUUUGAUCAUGGCUCAGGAUGAACGCUAGCGGCAGGCUUAAUACAUGCAAGUCGAGCGAGGUAGCAAUACCUAGCGGCGGACGGGUGAGUAACGCGUGGGAACGUACCCUUUGCUACGGAAUAGCCCCGGGAAACUGGGAGUAAUACCGUAUGUGCCCUUCGGGGGAAAGAUUUAUCGGCAAAGGAUCGGUCCGCGUUGGAUUAGGUAGUUGGUGGGGUAAUGGCCUACCAAGCCGACGAUCCAUAGCUGGUUUGAGAGGAUGAUCAGCCACACUGGGACUGAGACACGGGCCCAGACUCCUACGGGAGGCAGCAGUGGGGAAUCUUAGACAAUGGGCGCAAGCCUGAUCUAGCCAUGCCGCGUGAGUGAUGAAGGCCUUAGGGUUGUAAAGCUCUUUCAGAUGGGAAGAUAAUGACGGUACCAUCAGAAGAAGCCCCGGCUAACUCCGUG
rnacentral:rRNA from 1 species